ACUGAUGAGGAAGUCGAACUUUGGGUGGUCAAAGCGAUAACUGCUAAGUUAAUGGACUGUAAAAUGGACCAGAUGAAUCAAGUGGUGAUUGUGAGCCGCUGUACUGAGAGAGUAUUUGGGCAGCAACAAUGGCUUACACUUAGAUCAAAGUUAGCAACUUGGAGGGGUAAUGUUGCAAAUGUUAUCAGCACAAUUCGAGCUAACAGGAUAGCUGAAGAUGGCUCGCAGGCAGUGCAAGGCUUAGUUAUUCGUUAGAAAAUUCUUGGUUAUGUAGGUUCUUGACUGACUUAUGAAAGCUUGAAGUAGCAUUUAUGAUUCCCAAUUAUUUUCCCUUUGGACUUUGGA